rnacentral:rRNA from 1 species
GAGUUUGAGUCCCUGGCUCAGACGAACGCUGGCGGCGUGCUUAACACAUGCAAGUCGACGGAAAGGCCCUGCUUUUGUGGGGUGCUCGAGUGGCAACGGGUGAGUAACACGUGAGUAACCUGCCCUUGACUUUGGGAUAACUUCAGGAAACUGGGGCUAAUACCGGAUAGGAGCUCCUGCUGCAUGGUGGGGGUUGGAAAGUUUCGGCGGUUGGGGAUGGACUCGCGGCUUAUCAGCUUGUUGGUGGGGUAGUGGCUUACCAAGGCUUUGACGGGUAGCCGGCCUGAGAGGGUGCCGGCCACAUUGGGACUGAGAUACGGCCCAGACUCCUACGGGAGGCAGCAGUGGGGAAUAUUGCACAAUGGGCGGAAGCCUGAUGCAGCAACGCCGCGUGCGGGAUGACGGCCUUCGGGUUGUAAACCGCUUUCGCCUGUGACGAAGCGUGAGUGACGGUAAUGGGUAAAGAAGCACCGGCUAACUACGUG